GUUUCUAUGUCGCUCUAAGAUGGAAAUCGCUCAAGAUUUAUGCAUCACUUCUGAUCAACUUUGGAUUAGCUUUGUGCCUCCUAGCUCCAUAACUUGUCUAGAUCAGUUGGAAGGAUGUAAUCAACUUAAGGCGUCAUUUUUUUCUGACCAGUUAGAGGUCAAGAAUUGUGGACUUCGUCUAUUAUAUUAUGACGAUGAAGACGUUGUUGACAUUUUAACGUGUGGAUACUUGUACUGUUGUGUGUGACUUGCAUGCAUACAAUUUGCCGUCGGAACAAAGUUUGUUUCUAGGUCGCUUUACGAUGGAAAUCGCUCAAGAUUUAUGCAUCACUUCUGAUCAACUUUGGAUUAGCUUUGUGCCUCCUAGCUCCAUAACUUGUCUAGAUCAGUUGGAAGGAUGUAAUCAACUUAAGGCGUCAUUUUUUUCUGACCAGUUAGAGGUCAAGAAUUGUGGACUUCGUCUAUUAUAUUAUGACGAUGAAGACGUUGUUGACAUUUUAACGUGUGGAUACUUGUACUGUUGUGUGUGACUUGCAUGCAUACAAUUUGCCGUCGGAACAAAGUUUGUUUCUAGGUCGCUUUAC
rnacentral:misc_RNA from 1 species